AAUAGAUACCCCGGUAGUCCACGCCGUAAACGAUGAGUGCUAAGUGUUAGAGGGUUUCCGCCCUUUAGUGCUGCAGCUAACGCAUUAAGCACUCCGCCUGGGGAGUACGGCCGCAAGGCUGAAACUCAAAGGAAUUGACGGGGGCCCGCACAAGCGGUGGAGCAUGUGGUUUAAUUCGAAGCAACGCGAAGAACCUUACCAGGUCUUGACAUCCUCUGCCAACCCUAGAGAUAGGGCGUUCCCCUUCGGGGGACAGAGUGACAGGUGGUGCAUGGUUGUCGUCAGCUCGUGUCGUGAGAUGUUGGGUUAAGUCCCGCAACGAGCGCAACCCUUGAUCUUAGUUGCCAGCAUUCAGUUGGGCACUCUAAGGUGACUGCCGGUGACAAACCGGAGGAAGGUGGGGAUGACGUCAAAUCAUCAUGCCCCUUAUGACCUAGGCUACACACGUGCUACAAUGGAUGGUACAAAGAGCUGCGAACCCGCGAGGGUAAGCUAAUCUCAUAAAGCCAUUCUCAGUUCGGAUUGUAGG
rnacentral:rRNA from 1 species